GGGCUUGCUUCAGCAGCGCACAUAUAAAAACUAGAACAAUACAGAGAAGCUUAUCAUGGCCCCUGUGCAAGGAAGACACACAAAUUUGAGAAGCGUUCUUUAUGUCU
rnacentral:snRNA from 1 species